GACGAACCGUGCGAACGUUAUUCGGAAUCACUGGGCUUAAAGGGCGCGUAGGCGGGCCGCCAAGUCAGGGGUGAAAUCCCACGGCUCAACCGUGGAAGUGCCUUUGAUACUGGCGGCCUCGAGGGAGGCAGGGGCGUGCGGAACUUUGGGUGGAGCGGUGAAAUGCGUAGAUAUCCAAAGGAACACCGGUGGCGAAAGCGGCGCGCUGGACCUCUUCUGACGCUGAGGCGCGAAAGCCAGGGGAGCAAACGGG
rnacentral:rRNA from 1 species